rnacentral:rRNA from 2 species
GACGAACGCUGGCGGCGUGCCUAAUACAUGCAAGUCGAGCGGACCUUUUAAAAGCUUGCUUUUGAAAGGUCAGCGGCGGACGGGUGAGUAACACGUGGGCAACCUGCCUGUAAGACUGGGAUAACUUCGGGAAACCGGAGCUAAUACCGGAUAAUAUAAGGAACCUCCUGGUUCUUUAUUGAAAGAUGGUUUCGGCUAUCACUUACAGAUGGGCCCGCGGCGCAUUAGCUAGUUGGUGAGGUAACGGCUCACCAAGGCGACGAUGCGUAGCCGACCUGAGAGGGUGAUCGGCCACACUGGGACUGAGACACGGCCCAGACUCCUACGGGAGGCAGCAGUAGGGAAUCUUCCACAAUGGACGAAAGUCUGAUGGAGCAACGCCGCGUGAGCGAUGAAGGCCUUCGGGUCGUAAAGCUCUGUUGUUAGGGAAGAACAAGUGCGAGAGUAACUGCUCGCACCUUGACGGUACCUAACCAGAAAGCCACGGCUAACUACGUGCCAGCAGCCGCGGUAAUACGUAGGUGGCAAGCGUUGUCCGGAAUUAUUGGGCGUAAAGCGCGCGCAGGUGGUCCUUUAAGUCUGAUGUGAAAGCCCACGGCUCAACCGUGGAGGGUCAUUGGAAACUGGGGGACUUGAGUGCAGAAGAGGAAAGUGGAAUUCCAAGUGUAGCGGUGAAAUGCGUAGAGAUUUGGAGGAACACCAGUGGCGAAGGCGACUUUCUGGUCUGUAACUGACACUGAGGCGCGAAAGCGUGGGGAGCAAACAGGAUUAGAUACCCUGGUAGUCCACGCCGUAAACGAUGAGUGCUAAGUGUUAGAGGGUUUCCGCCCUUUAGUGCUGCAGCUAACGCAUUAAGCACUCCGCCUGGGGAGUACGGUCGCAAGACUGAAACUCAAAGGAAUUGACGGGGGCCCGCACAAGCGGUGGAGCAUGUGGUUUAAUUCGAAGCAACGCGAAGAACCUUACCAGGUCUUGACAUCCUCUGACACUCCUAGAGAUAGGACGUUCCCCUUCGGGGGACAGAGUGACAGGUGGUGCAUGGUUGUCGUCAGCUCGUGUCGUGAGAUGUUGGGUUAAGUCCCGCAACGAGCGCAACCCUUGAUCUUAGUUGCCAGCAUUCAGUUGGGCACUCUAAGGUGACUGCCGGUGACAAACCGGAGGAAGGUGGGGAUGACGUCAAAUCAUCAUGCCCCUUAUGACCUGGGCUACACACGUGCUACAAUGGACGGUACAAAGGGCAGCAAAACCGCGAGGUCGAGCCAAUCCCAUAAAACCGUUCUCAGUUCGGAUUGCAGGCUGCAACUCGCCUGCAUGAAGCCGGAAUCGCUAGUAAUCGCGGAUCAGCAUGCCGCGGUGGAAUACCGUUCCCGGGCCCUUGUACACACCGCCCCGUCACACCACGAGAAGUUUGUAACACCCGAAGUCGGUGGGGUAACCUUUUGGAGCCAGCCGCCUAAGGUGGGACAGAUGAUUGGGGUGAAGUCUACAGGGGGGGCCCCCCAUA